AGUGAAUGAUGACAAAAUGUUUGGUUCCAGAUGAUACAUAACUGCUUUUGUAAUUUUGUUUAUUUAUGACAUU